AGUAACAGAAAAUUCCAGCUAUAAUCUACUUUCCUUUGAAAAAAGUAGGGGGGGAAGAUUGUAAAAUUUAUAGAUACACCAAGUUUGCAUUUUAUUUCAGUCCUCAGGUUUAACUGAAGUAGCUGUAUUUGUUUUGUGGACCUAGAUCUAAUGCAUAGGCUGCAUCUAGUGUCUUUAUCUUACAUAAAGUUUCUUGAGAGACCUGUAAUGUAGCGUUAAACUCUGUGCACAAGAUUCAAAAGCUAAAUGUGAAAACUGGAUGUGACUGCUGCUGAGUCAUGCUGACAGCUCAGCCUGGUUAGCUUUAAUGAAGGUUCAGAGUGGAACAUGGCAUCUUUUUGAGCAAGGAGGGAAGACCGAGGAAGUCCUGCAGGCACUGCUGGUGCUCAGUCGUGCUUGUUGCUGAACCUGCUAUGAACAAGGAGGAGACAUAGUCCCUGCCUCCAAGGGGUAUAAUCUAAAAUAUCAAACCUGGAAAUCUCAGGGCACUUUUAACAGCUUUGUGAGAGGCUGAAGAUAUGCUGAAGAUGUGCCUAAAGAUGGUGGUACAUGAAAUGGGACUUCUGAGGCUGUGUCUUCAUGUCUAUCUGCUUAGACUGCUGCAAGACUUGUCUGGGCUCAUCUUGAACAAACCGGCUUGCAGACUGCAAGCAGUAGAACUUGGCUGAGUAGACUUUGUGACCAUUAUUGCUGAUACUUGGUAGUUCUCUAUCCAUUUCAGCAGAUGAUUUUUCUUCUCAACAUCUACCAGACCUGACAGACUUUUGGAAGCAUGUUCUCUUGCAGCCUUGUAUGGAUGGGAAAUGUAAUUUAUUACAAAGAAGUCCUCCAUCUUUCGAAUUAAAAGUAUUGCACUUAUAGCUGGACCAGGAAACUCCAAAAACUUGAAACAUUGAAAUGAUGAAAUUCUUCAGCAAAGAAAUGCUAUUAAUUAUGCUGUUAAUG